CCCAACUGAUACCAUUUUAGAAACUAAUCACACUUCAUUAACAACCAAUUUUGCUAAUGAAAUCAUUAAACUUCAAUCUAAGAAAAUACAAACAUUCAACUGAUUGUUUAACCACACUACUAACUACAGUUAACAAUUAUAAUCACAAUUAUUUAUUAAACUCUCACAUCCAGCACUCCUGCAUAUCCAGGUAUGGUCACCGCUAAAUUCCAGUUAAGAAGAAUAGAGUUGCAGAGGUGAGGUUACCAAAUUUCUAUCUGAACUCCUACGCUCCUUCGCUCAGGAAGGUGUUGGGCCGCAGUAGUCAACCCUUCCAUUCAAAAUUCACAUUGAAAAAAAUUAAAAAAUAUAAAUAAAAAAUAGGAGGAAGAAAAGAGAAGCUGCAACUGAAUUCGAUGGCCACACCAUUGAACGUUGAAGGGGUCAUGGCGUUGAUGCCGCAGGAGCCACUGAAUCCGAUGGAGGCGUCUUCGUCCUCUUCCUCGCCGUCUACUGCCUCUUGUUCGCUGUCGCCUUCUGAGGAUAAGAAGUCGUUUGUCGACAAUCCUAUUUUGAU
rnacentral:lncRNA from 1 species